rnacentral:rRNA from 1 species
CGAACGGUGAUGCAGAGCUUGCUCUGCUGAUCAGUGGCGAACGGGUGAGUAACACGUGAGUAACCUGCCCUUGACUCUGGGAUAAGCGCUGGAAACGGCGUCUAAUACCGGAUACGACCUUCCCCGGCAUCGGGUGGGGGUGGAAAGAUUUUUUGGUCAAGGAUGGACUCGCGGCCUAUCAGCUUGUUGGUGAGGUAAUGGCUCACCAAGGCGACGACGGGUAGCCGGCCUGAGAGGGUGACCGGCCACACUGGGACUGAGACACGGCCCAGACUCCUACGGGAGGCAGCAGUGGGGAAUAUUGCACAAUGGGCGAAAGCCUGAUGCAGCAACGCCGCGUGAGGGAUGACGGCCUUCGGGUUGUAAACCUCUUUUGGCAGGGAAGAAGCGAAAGUGACGGUACCUGCAGAAAAAGCACCGGCUAACUACGUGCCAGCAGCCGCGGUAAUACGUAGGGUGCGAGCGUUGUCCGGAAUUAUUGGGCGUAAAGAGCUCGUAGGCGGUUUGUCGCGUCUGCUGUGAAAUCCCGAGGCUCAACCUCGGGCCUGCAGUGGGUACGGGCAAACUAGAGUGCAGUAGGGGAGACUGGAAUUCCUGGUGUAGCGGUGGAAUGCGCAGAUAUCAGGAGGAACACCGAUGGCGAAGGCAGGUCUCUGGGCUGUAACUGACGCUGAGGAGCGAAAGCGUGGGGAGCGAACAGGAUUAGAUACCCUGGUAGUCCACGCCGUAAACGUUGGGCGCUAGAUGUGGGGACCAUUCCACGGUUUCCGUGUCGCAGCUAACGCAUUAAGCGCCCCGCCUGGGGAGUAC